GGAGGUAUAGUUUAGUGGUAGACAGCAUGCUUAGCAUGCACGAGGUCCUCUGGGUUCAAUCCCUAGUACCUCCA
rnacentral:tRNA from 1 species